UCAGUUGAUGAUGGAGUCUGUGCUGGUCUGUCUGAUCCUCGUCUCUCUCAGCGGUUUCCGGUGGGGGCACCAGUCCGCUGCUCUGCCAGCCUCCGCGGUCCAGGUGAGAGUAGGGGAGGAUGCCACCCUACAGUGCCCCCUGCUGGACAAUGCCACCACAGCUGCCCCACCUGCCUACUCCACUCUAAGCUGGUACAGGAAGGUGACAGGAGGGAGUCCUCAGCUGCUCCUCACCAUCAGGUCUACCAACAGCUCUCAUGUGAAAUUCGGCUCUGGUGUCAGUCCUGAUAAAGUGUCUGCUACAGCCGACGGCUCUCUGCUGCUGCGACGCUCGGAGCACAGUGACUCUGCAGUUUAUUACUGUGGGAUCAGUCAGGGACAGGAGCCCAAGAACAAAUCAGCAGGGACUCAGAGACUCACAGAGACAUGAAUUUAGACCUGAUUCCUGGUCUACUUGUCCAGACUGAGCAGAUUUUACUUUGACUUCCAUUUUAGGAUUUAGAGUCUCAGCUUUAGAUGGUUUCUGUUGCAGAAUAGCUUUGAUUUUUCUGAUUGUGUUUUAAAACUUAUUUCAGAUUAUAGGACUAUGAAUCUGGUCAACUGACUGAAUGAACAGAAAAAUAUAAA